rnacentral:rRNA from 1 species
AUUGAACGCUGGCGGCAGGCCUAACACAUGCAAGUCGAACGAGUGGCGGACGGGUGAGUAAUGUCUGGGAAACUGCCCGAUGGAGGGGGAUAACUACUGGAAACGGUAGCUAAUACCGCAUACCAUCGGAUGUGCCCAGAUGGGAUUAGCUAGUAGGUGUGGUAACGGCUCACCUAGGCGACGCUCCCUACCUGGUCUGCGAGGAUGACCGGCCACACUGGGACUGGGACACGGCCCAGACUCCUACGGGAGGCAGCAGUGGGGAAGAUUGCACAAUGGGCGCAAGCCUGAUGGAGCCAUGCCGCGUGUAGGAAGAAGGCCUGCGGGUUGUAAAGUACUUUCGGCGAGGAGGCGUUACUCACAGAGGAAGCACCGGCUAACUCCGUGCCAGCAGCCGCGGUAAUAC